GAAGGGCUGGUGUCUCUCAUUACAGUUAGAGUGAGUGAGAGGACCUCAGAACUAAUUUACUUGCUCUCACUAGGGAAGACACUUGCCUCCAUCAAGAACUUCACUUUCCUGCUGCCUGUGGCAAUAAAAGAACCCGUUUUGUUUUAACAUUAAUAAGGAAUUCCACUCAUUGAUAAAGCUCGGCUUCGACACCCCUGCUCACAAUGAAAUACCUUCCUUGCCAACCACAUUGCUUUAUGAUCGUGCCCCUUUACCACAUUGUACUUGAAAUGCCUUGUCAUUUAAGAAACCAUAAAAACGACGUCUUUAAAAAUGGGUUCAUCAUUUAGCUGGAGAUGGCUUCUGUGCCUGGAAUCAGAAGCCUGUCCUCUCGGUGGUAUGCCUCCACAAAAGGAAGCGAGCUACCACAAAGGACAGCAUCAUGUGUUGCCUUCAUUGCUAUUGAAUCGGGAAGUUGGUGCCCAGUUUCAAUACGGAUGACAAAGUAGUGGGAAUCUGAAAUGCCUACAUUAGAACUAUUUUUGAACGAGAAGGACUUUGGCUCCAAUCAACAGUUUGGUUUCUUACUGUUUACAUCUAUGAGUCAAAGUAGCUUGCUCCCAGGAUCCCCCACCAAACCGAAUGAAAAUAAAUUCAAUGUGUGCCCACUGAGCCUGGCCUGGGAGUUCUUGAGAUCAACUCAGAAUCAUGGUCUUUCUGUCACUCCCAAAACAAUCCUACCUAAUUCUACUUGUUCCUAAGUAUUGCCUUAGGAUACUGACAGUCUUUUCUCCUACUUACAGCUUUUGAAUGAAAUUAAAGCUAAUCCUCUCUGGCUUGGUCGGGUCUUGUGUAAGAUUCCCACACCCCACAAUCAAGGCCUUGCAAUGUGGUGUUAGAAGAGAUA
rnacentral:lncRNA from 1 species